rnacentral:rRNA from 1 species
CGUGUAGGUGGAUAGAUAAGUUAUGUGUGAAAUAUCCGGGCUUAACCUGGAGGGGCCAUGUAAUACUGUCUAUCUAGAGUAGAGCAGAGGGAAGUAGAAUUUCCGGUGUAGCGGUGAAAUGCGUAGAGAUCGGAAGGAAUACCAGUGGCGAAGGCGGCUUCCUGGGCUCAUACUGACACUGAGGCGCGAAAGCGUGGGUAGCAAACA